UAGGGAAUCUUCGGCAAUGGACGAAAGUCUGACCGAGCAACGCCGCGUGAGUGAAGAAGGUUUUCGGAUCGUAAAACUCUGUUGUUAGAGAAGAACAAGGACGUUAGUAACUGAACGUCCCCUGACGGUAUCUAACCAGAAAGCCACGGCUAACUACGUGCCAGCAGCCGCGGUAAUACGUAGGUGGCAAGCGUUGUCCGGAUUUAUUGGGCGUAAAGCGAGCGCAGGCGGUUUCUUAAGUCUGAUGUGAAAGCCCCCGGCUCAACCGGGGAGGGUCAUUGGAAACUGGGAGACUGGAGUGCAGAAGAGGGGAGUGGAAUUCCAGGUGUAGCGGUGAAAUGCGUAGAUAUAUGGAGGAACACCAGUGGCGAAGGCGGCUCGCUGGUCUGUAACUGACGAUGAGGCUCGAAAGCGUGGGGAGCAAGCAGG
rnacentral:rRNA from 1 species